rnacentral:rRNA from 1 species
UACGUAGGGUGCAAGCGUUGUCCGGAAUUAUUGGGCGUAAAGAGCUCGUAGGCGGUCUGUCACGUCGGCUGUGAAAUCCCGAGGCUCAACCUCGGGUCUGCAGUCGAUACGGGCAAACUAGAGUAUUGCAGGGGAGACUGGAAUUCCUGGUGUAGCGGUGAAAUGCGCAGAUAUCAGGAGGAACACCGGUGGCGAAGGCGGGUCUCUGGGCAAUAACUGACGCUGAGGCACGAAAGCGUGGGGAUCAAACAGG